rnacentral:rRNA from 1 species
UACGUAGGGUGCAAGCGUUAAUCGGAAUUACUGGGCGUAAAGCGUGCGCAGGCGGCUUCUCAAGUCAGGGGUGAAAGCCCAGAGCUCAACUCUGGAAUUGCCUUUGAGACUGAGUGGCUUGAGUACGAGAGAGGUGAGUGGAAUUCCCAGUGUAGAGGUGAAAUUGUAGAUAUUGGGAAGAACACCGGUGGCGAAGGCGGCUCACUGGCUCGUAAACUGACGC